GUACCAGUUGUCCUGCCAAGGGCAUGGCUGGGUAGCUAUGUACGGAAUGGAUAAGCGCUGAAAGCAUCUAAGCGCGAAGCCAACUUCAAGAUAAGAUUUCCCACCGCAAGGGUAAGACCCCAGAAAGACUAUCUGGUUGAUAGGUCGAAGGUGUAAGUGCAGCAAUGUAUUUAGCUUAUCGAUACUAAUAGGUCGAGGACUUGACCAA
rnacentral:rRNA from 1 species